CCUACGGGGGGCUGCAGUAGGGAAUCUUCCGCAAUGGGCGAAAGCCUGACGGAGCAACGCCGCGUGAGUGAUGAAGGUUUUCGGAUCGUAAAGCUCUGUUGCCAAGGAAGAACGUCUCAUAGAGUAACUGCUAUGAGAGUGACGGUACUUGAGAAGAAAGCCCCGGCUAACUACGUGCCAGCAGCCGCGGUAAUACGUAGGGGGCAAGCGUUGUCCGGAAUUAUUGGGCGUAAAGCGCGCGCAGGCGGUUCUUUAAGUCUGGUGUUUAAACCUGGGGCUCAACUUCAGGUCGCACUGGAAACUGGGGAACUUGAGUGCAGAAGAGGAGAGUGGAAUUCCACGUGUAGCGGUGAAAUGCGUAGAUAUGUGGAGGAACACCAGUGGCGAAGGCGACUCUCUGGGCUGUAACUGACGCUGAGCG
rnacentral:rRNA from 1 species